rnacentral:lncRNA from 1 species
ACCCCUCAGAACUGAGCCUGGAUGUCAGCCGUGGCCAUGAUGGCUCCGUCUCAUUCUGUCACAGAUCGUCUUUAUAAGCCAGACAUUUCAGUGCUAUAAACUGAUGAGACACCCACAGAAUUUAACAGAAAUCGAAGGUGUGGAAAGGAUCUCAGACAAGCGAAUCCAUCACUGUUACUGUACAGAUAAGAAAUGGAGGCCAAAUAGGAUUAGCAACUUGCUCAGGACUCCACAGGACCAUCAUGUGUGAUCAACUCGAAGAAAGCGAAUCACUUAGUUUUUCAUUUUAGCAACAAUACUAGUACAAAAUGACUUAUGCUAACAUUCUUCCUAUAUAUAUUUCAAUUAAAAAUAGUACGCUGAAUAAUCCACUUUUUAUUAUCUACAUCACCUCUCCAGUCUGUAUGCUUCAUUAACUGACAAUUUGUUAUCUCUGUUUUUAAUCACUCUGUAAGAGAUGGAAUUAAUUUUUCCUAUGUCUUCUUUCAUUUUCUCGGCUAAACACAUCCACUUUUAAUGAUUUCAAAAUAUGGUCCCUGUUAGUCAUUUUUCUGCCUUAAAAGCUGGAAUCUUAGGUGGACAUUUUGGAGGCCUAGG